UACAGAGGGUGCAAGCGUUAAUCGGAAUUACUGGGCGUAAAGCGCGCGUAGGUGGUUCGUUAAGUUGGAUGUGAAAGCCCCGGGCUCAGCCCGGGAAGUGCGCUCGAAACUGCGCGGCUCGAGUGCCGGAGGGGAGAGUGGAAUUCCUGGUGUAGCGGUGAAAUGCGUAGAUAUCAGGAGGAAUACCGGUGGCGAAAGCGACUCUCUGGACGGCAACUGACGCUGAGGCACGAAAGCGUGGGGAGCAAACAGG
rnacentral:rRNA from 1 species